CAGCCGCCACGGUAAUACGAAGGGUGCAAGCGUUAAUCGGAAUUACUGGGCGUAAAGCGUGCGUAGGCGGUUCGUUAAGUCUGUUGUGAAAGCCCCGGGCUCAACCUGGGAAUGGCAAUGGAUACUGGCGAGCUAGAGUGUGUCAGAGGAUGGUGGAAUUCCCGGUGUAGCGGUGAAAUGCGUAGAGAUCGGGAGGAACAUCAGUGGCGAAGGCGGCCAUCUGGGACAACACUGACGCUGAGGCACGAAAGCUAGGGGAGCAAACAGGAUUAGAUACCCCCGUAGUCCCUGUCUCUUAUAA
rnacentral:rRNA from 1 species